rnacentral:tRNA from 1 species
CGGCUGGUAGCGGCCAUCAGAGCGACGGACUUUUAAUCCGUUGGUCGUCGGUUCGAGUCCGACCGGGCUCA